AUUAGAGGAUGUAAUGGGGUUCAUGGGCUCAAGUUCAUAAGCCCAAAUUGAUUUAAAAAAAUAAAAAAUGGCUUUAAUUCGUUGAACCGAUCCUUAUGGAUGAACUUGUUGAAACGGGUUCAUACCACGCGUCAAUCAUUCACUGCCUUCUCCUUUCUUCACAAACAUCAUUUCCUAAAACUCCUCCCUUCUUCUCAAAACUCUCCUUUUCACCUUUUCCCCAUCCCCGGAUCUACCUUCCUCGGCGAGUAGUAGCACCGUCGAUGAGUCAGGUCCCACCGCCACCACCGUCGGAACAACAAUAUCCGUCGACCAUUCCGCUCUCUUCAAUCCUCCCGACCACUCUCAUGAACCCACACCAGACUCGGAGCUCGUCAAGCACCUCAAGAGCGUCAUCAAGUUUCGUGGUCGGCCAAUCUCAGUUUGUGAGUUUGGCGAGGUAAACAUUUCAUGUCUUCUUAGGAGUUGUGAGUUUGUGUGCUUGAGAUUGGUUUUAUUACGCCAACUUCACUGUGUUUUCAAUUUUCUUGAUUGGUGUGUAUGUAUUUGUCCAUAUUAUGCUUUCCUUACCUAGUGCAUUCCAAGAGUUCGAGUUUAGUGGUCUUGAUUUGCCGGAUUCAGUUGGAGAGUUUGUUGUUAGUGGGGUUCUCGUUCUUCAGUGCGAGAGAGUAUUGCAGUUGAUUUCACGUUUCAUGCAGGCAAGAAAACAGAAAGUGAUCAUGGCGUCAAAGCUCAUGGAGAUGGUUGGUUGCUAACUGCUGCUUUAAUAGAAGGGGUCGAUCUAGGUAGAUCCAAGCGGGCGUUGUGAUCCGUAUAUUGUAUUUACUUCCAAUGGGAAGACGAGAACCAGCUCCAUCAAGUUCCAGAAAUCAGAAAAGAGUGACAAAGAACAUCCUGAUGAAUCUGCAGGAUCGGCUGAAGAUGGUUUUGGAUUCUUGGAGAAGGAAUAUAGCAGCAGACAAGAAAACAGCAGCAAGUAGCAUAAUAAUAUAUGUAGACUUUGGUCUGAGAAUUGGAAGGCCAUUGUAGCUGAAGCUCAAGGUCAAAGCAUUCCUUAUUCUUGUUUACGUCAUAUAAUAGCUGACUUGUUUGUAAAGUUUUGUGAUUAUUGUGGUGAUGCUCUGCCUUAAACCUCUUCGAAAGUGAUCAAAAUUGUACUCAUUUCAUGUGUUGUUGUUCAAUGCUUUUUCCUAUUCUCCAGUAGCCAUGCCUUUUGUACACUAAGCUCUAGCUCGCCUUUGUUAUUUCUUUGAAACAUAAAUUCAGGUUUUGUUACGUAUGGGAUUAGUUCUAGGUUUGUGGUGCUUGUAAAAACAUUGUUGAUUAGUUUGUUGUUACUUUUAUUCUUAAGAACUUUUUUUCAAGUUCACUAAUGCAGAAAUACAAUAAAUAGAGAUUCAUUACUAUUCAU